rnacentral:misc_RNA from 1 species
AAGUCGUAACAAGGUUUCCGUAGGUGAACCUGCGGAAGGAUCAUUAAUGAAUUAAAUCCGAGGUCGUUGCUGCUGGUCUCUUGAGACAUCGUGCACGCUUCCUUCUUAUUCAUCCACCCCAAACCGUGCACUCAUCGUAGGCCGGAGAUUUCUCCGGUCUAUGUAUUUCUUAACACCGUAAAAGUAAAUGAACGUAUCCAAUGCCGCUCACGCGGUAUUAACAAAAUUAAUACAACUUUCAACAACGGAUCUCUUGGCUCUC